rnacentral:rRNA from 1 species
AAAUUGAAGAGUUUGAUCAUGGCUCAGAUUGAACGCUGGCGGCAGGCCUAACACAUGCAAGUCGAACGGUAACAGGAAGCAGCUUGCUGUUUUGCUGACGAGUGGCGGACGGGUGAGUAAUGUCUGGGAAACUGCCUGAUGGAGGGGGAUAACUACUGGAAACGGUAGCUAAUACCGCAUAACGUCGCAAGACCAAAGAGGGGGACCUUAGGGCCUCUUGCCAUCGGAUGUGCCCAGAUGGGAUUAGCUAGUAGGUGGGGUAACGGCUCACCUAGGCGACGAUCCCUAGCUGGUCUGAGAGGAUGACCAGCCACACUGGAACUGAGACACGGUCCAGACUCCUACGGGAGGCAGCAGUGGGGAAUAUUGCACAAUGGGCGCAAGCCUGAUGCAGCCAUGCCGCGUGUAUGAAGAAGGCCUUCGGGUUGUAAAGUACUUUCAGCGGGGAGGAAGGGAGUAAAGUUAAUACCUUUGCUCAUUGACGUUACCCGCAGAAGAAGCACCGGCUAACUCCGUGCCAGCAGCCGCGGUAAUACGGAGGGUGCAAGCGUUAAUCGGAAUUACUGGGCGUAAAGCGCACGCAGGCGGUUUGUUAAGUCAGAUGUGAAAUCCCCGGGCUCAACCUGGGAACUGCAUCUGAUACUGGCAAGCUUGAGUCUCGUAGAGGGGGGUAGAAUUCCAGGUGUAGCGGUGAAAUGCGUAGAGAUCUGGAGGAAUACCGGUGGCGAAGGCGGCCCCCUGGACGAAGACUGACGCUCAGGUGCGAAAGCGUGGGGAGCAAACAGGAUUAGAUACCCUGGUAGUCCACGCCGUAAACGAUGUCGACUUGGAGGUUGUGCCCUUGAGGCGUGGCUUCCGGAGCUAACGCGUUAAGUCGACCGCCUGGGGAGUACGGCCGCAAGGUUAAAACUCAAAUGAAUUGACGGGGGCCCGCACAAGCGGUGGAGCAUGUGGUUUAAUUCGAUGCAACGCGAAGAACCUUACCUGGUCUUGACAUCCACGGAAGUUUUCAGAGAUGAGAAUGUGCCUUCGGGAACCGUGAGACAGGUGCUGCAUGGCUGUCGUCAGCUCGUGUUGUGAAAUGUUGGGUUAAGUCCCGCAACGAGCGCAACCCUUAUCCUUUGUUGCCAGCGGUCCGGCCGGGAACUCAAAGGAGACUGCCAGUGAUAAACUGGAGGAAGGUGGGGAUGACGUCAAGUCAUCAUGGCCCUUACGACCAGGGCUACACACGUGCUACAAUGGCGCAUACAAAGAGAAGCGACCUCGCGAGAGCAAGCGGACCUCAUAAAGUGCGUCGUAGUCCGGAUUGGAGUCUGCAACUCGACUCCAUGAAGUCGGAAUCGCUAGUAAUCGUGGAUCAGAAUGCCACGGUGAAUACGUUCCCGGGCCUUGUACACACCGCCCGUCACACCAUGGGAGUGGGUUGCAAAAGAAGUAGGUAGCUUAACCUUCGGGAGGGCGCUUACCACUUUGUGAUUCAUGACUGGGGUGAAGUCGUAACAAGGUAACCGUAGGGGAACCUGCGGUUGGAUCACCUCCUUACCUUAAAGAAGC